rnacentral:rRNA from 1 species
UACGUAGGGGGCAAGCGUUGUCCGGAAUCAUUGGGCGUAAAGCGCGCGUAGGCGGCCCGGUAAGUCCGCUCUGAAAGUCCAGGGCUCAACCCUGGAAAGCGGGUGGAUACUGCCGGGCUAGAGUCCGGAAGAGGCGAGUGGAAUUCCUGGUGUAGCGGUGAAAUGCGUAGAUAUCGGGAGGAAUACCAGUGGCGAAGGCGGCUUCUUGGCCUGUUCUUGACGCUGAGGCGCGAAAGCUGGGGGAGCAAACGGG